CCUAACACAUGCAAGUCGAACGAGGUAGCAAUACCUAGUGGCGGACGGGUGAGGAAUACGUAGGGAUCUGCCUUUAAGUGGGGGAUAACCCGGGGAAACCCGGAUUAAUACCGCAUGAUCUCGCAAGAGCAAAGAGGGGGACCGCAAGGCCUCUCGCUUUUAGAGGAACCUACGUCGGAUUAGCUAGUUGGUGAGGUAAUGGCUCACCAAGGCGACGAUCCGUAACUGGUCUGAGAGGAUGAUCAGUCACACCGGAACUGAGACACGGUCCGGACUCCUACGGGAGGCAGCAGUGGGGAAUAUUGGACAAUGGGCGAAAGCCUGAUCCAGCAAUACCGCGUGUGUGAAGAAGGCCUUCGGGUUGUAAAGCACU
rnacentral:rRNA from 1 species